GAUGAACGCUGGCGGCGUGCCUAAUACAUGCAAGUAGAACGCUGAAGGAAGGAGCUUGCUCUUUCCGGAUGAGUUGCGAACGGGUGAGUAACGCGUAGGUAACCUGCCUGGUAGCGGGGGAUAACUAUUGGAAACGAUAGCUAAUACCGCAUAACAGUAGAUGUUGCAUGAUAUCUACUUAAAAGGUGCAAUUGCACCACUACCAGAUGGACCUGCGUUGUAUUAGCUAGUUGGUGAGGUAACGGCUCACCAAGGCGACGAUACAUAGCCGACCUGAGAGGGGGAUCGGCCACACUGGGACUGAGACACGGCCCAGACUCCUACGGGAGGCAGCAGUAGGGAAUCUUCGGCAAUGGACGGAAGUCUGACCGAGCAACGCCGCGUGAGUGAAGAAGGUUUUCGGAUCGUAAAGCUCUGUUGUAAGAGAAGAACGAGUGUGAGAGUGGAAAGUUCACACUGUGACGGUAUCUUACCAGAAAGGGACGGCCAACUACGUG
rnacentral:rRNA from 1 species